rnacentral:lncRNA from 1 species
AAUACUCGUGUUGUCAAUGUGAAUGCUUUGUGAUUGAAUAAUUGUUGAUGUUUAUUUAGGCUACCCUUGCGUACUUUUGCACCAUUAUAUAUUAUGAGUGUAUUCUCACCCCUUUAUUGUUCGUGUGGUUUUGUGCUCCUUCUUGGGGUGCAUACGAGCAUGUAAAUGUGUUGUUGCUUAGAAGUUGAAGGAUGGUGUUGAGGUUGUUCUUCUUUUUUUCCCUUUUUAUGCGAUGUUUUAGAUUCCAU